rnacentral:rRNA from 1 species
UUGAAACUAAAAAAAUUUGGCGGUAUUUUAAUCUUAUUAGAGGAAUCUGUUCUGUAAUCGAUGUUCCACGUUUAAUUUUACUAAAAUGUUUGUAUAUCGUUGUUAAAAGAAUAAAUUUUCUAAUAUUUUAAUUAAAAUUUAUAUCAAAUCAAGGUACAGUUUAUAAUUUAGAAGAAAUGGAUUACAAUAAAAUUAUUUAGAAUUUUAAUGAAGGUGGAUUUAAUAGUAAAUAAAUUUUAAUAUAAUUAGUUGAUUAAAGUUCUAAAAUAUGU